GACGAACGCUGGCGGCGUGCUUAACACAUGCAAGUCGAACGGAAAGGCCCUGCUUGCAGGGUACUCGAGUGGCGAACGGUGAGUAACACGUGGGUGAUCUGCCCUGCACUUCGGGAUAAGCCUGGGAAACUGGGUCUAAUACCGGAUAGGAGCCAUUUUUAGUGUGAUGGUUGGAAAGUUUUUUCGGUGUAGGAUGAGCUCGCGGCCUAUCAGCUUGUUGGUGGGGUAAUGGCCUACCAAGGCGGCGACGGGUAGCCGGCCUGAGAGGGUGGACGGCCACAUUGGGACUGAGAUACGGCCCAGACUCCUACGGGAGGCAGCAGUGGGGAAUAUUGCACAAUGGGCGCAAGCCUGAUGCAGCGACGCCGCGUGGGGGAUGACGGCCUCGGUUGUAACGUACCUUUCGUCUAGGG
rnacentral:rRNA from 1 species